rnacentral:rRNA from 1 species
AGUCGAGGGGUAACAGGGAUUGCUUGCAAUCCGCUGACGACCGGCGCACGGGUGCGUAACGCGUAUGCAACCUACCUUCUACAGGGGGAUAGUCAAUAGAAAUGUUGAAUAAUACCCCAUACGAUCAUUAAUCUGCAUGGAUUGAUGAAGAAAGUUCCGGCGGUAGAAGAUGGGCAUGCGUCCUAUUAGUUAGUUGGUAAGGUAACGGCUUACCAAGACAUCGAUAGGUAGGGGUCCUGAGAGGGAGAUCCCCCACACUGGUACUGAGACACGGACCAGACUCCUACGGGAGGCAGCAGUGAGGAAUAUUGGACAAUGGAGGCAACUCUGAUCCAGCCAUGCCGCGUGCAGGAAGACUGCCCUAUGGGUUGUAAACUGCUUUUAUACAGGAAGAAUAGUACCUACGUGUAGGUAUUUGACGGUACUGUACGAAUAAGGAUCGGCUAACUCCGUGCCAGCAGCCGCGGUAAU